UCUUUCUUUUGUCUGGCGACCGGCGCACGGGUGAGUAACACGUAUCCAACCUGCCCUUUACUCGGGGAUAGCCUUUCGAAAGAAAGAUUAAUACCCGAUAGUAUAAUGAUUCCGCAUGGUUUCAUUAUUAAAGGAUUCCGGUAAAGGAUGGGGAUGCGUUCCAUUAGGUUGUCGGUGAGGUAACGGCUCACCAAGCCUUCGAUGGAUAGGGGUUCUGAGAGGAAGGUCCCCCACAUUGGAACUGAGACACGGUCCAA
rnacentral:rRNA from 1 species